CCUACGGGAGGCAGCAGUGGGGAAUAUUGCACAAUGAGGGAAACCCUGAUGCAGCGACGCCGCGUGAGUGAAGAAGUAAUUCGUUAUGUAAAGCGCUAUCAGCAGGGAAGAAAAUGACGGUACCUGAGUAAGAAGCCCCUGCUAACUACUUGCCAGCAGCCGCGGUAAUACGUAGGGGGCAAGCGUUAUCCGGAUUUACUGGGUGGAAAGGGAGCGUAGACGGCAGUGCAAGUCUGGAGUGAAAGGCGGGGGCUCAACCCCCGGACCGCUCUGGAAACUGUACGGCUGGAGUGCAGGAGAGGUAAGUGGAAUUCCUAGUGUAGCGGUGAAAUGCGUAGAUAUUAGGAGGAACACCAGUGGCGAAGGCGGCUUACUGGACUGUAACUGACGUUGAGGCUCGAAAGCGUGGGGAGCAAACAGGAUUAGAUACCCGAGUAGUC
rnacentral:rRNA from 1 species